CAAUAGCGUAUAUUUAAGUUGUUGCAGUUAAAAAGCUCGUAGUUGGAUUUCGGGCGGGGCCUGCCGGUCCGCCUUUGGUGUGCACUGGCAGGGUCCGCCUUGCUGUCGGGGACGGGUUCCUGGGCUUUACUGUCUGGGACUCGGAGUCGACGUGGUUACUUUGAGUAAAUUAGAGUGUUCAAAGCAGGCUUACGCUCUGAAUACAUUAGCAUGGAAUAACGCGAUAGGACUCUGGCCUAUCUUGUUGGUCUGUGGGACCGGAGUAAUGAUUAAGAGGGACAGUCGGGGGCAUUCGUAUUUCAUUGUCAGAGGUGAAAUUCUUGGAUUUAUGAAAGACGAACUACU
rnacentral:rRNA from 3 species